UUCAGGAAGGAUUGCUCCGCGGGGACCUCUGCUCUCUGCGCUUACGCUGAAUGUUUCAACAAACAAACAAACAAAACCUAAAUCCAGAAUGUGACGUGUGGACAGCCCCUAACAGAUAAACCAUAAGGACUCUGCCCUUUGCACAUAUCUUCCUAGAAUGCUACCAAAUAACGGUCUGCUUUAGUUGACCAGAGCUUUCACAAAACGAGACAACGGCGACAGCCUCAUCUCUCCCCCAUCGCUAAGUCAAACCACCGGAUUCCCCCAAACCGAAGCCAUCAAAUGCUCAUACGCACGCAGGAGUUCCAGAUAUCCGUCAGACGUCAUGCACAUUAAACUGUGGAGGUCGUGUCUGCAUCAUGCUCCGUGUCCAUUUCUGGUCAAAUCUAGACAGGUCUCUGCUCAUGCUGUUGCCUUCACUUGCUUAAAAGCAGUAAAAUUAUGACCGAUAUGUACAUAAAAUAAAAUAAAGAAAUAAAUAAAAACAAUUCUGGAUUCUAUGGAAAUGUGAAUGUACAAUGUUUAAACAAUAUACUAGUUUUUAUAGGAAGAGGUACUUGGGAUUUUUAUUUUGGGACCUAACAGAAGGUUGCUUAAUGUAUAUAUUUUGUCAAAAAAAUUAAUAAAAAAAAUGCUGUUGACAUUCAUUAAAAAGUAUUAAUAAAGAUUUUUUUUUUUUCCUGUGGAAUUGCUGCAUGUCUUGGCUUUGUCUUUGAAGCCUUGUUUAUCUGCCGA
ensembl:lncRNA